GGUAAGUAUUUUCUAUCGAUUUAUUUUUUUUCACAACCCUGGAACAGAAAAAUGCAUUUAUUUUCAUUGUGUACAUUAUAUGAAUUUAAUUAGCUCUGACACAUUCAAUUUUUAGAAUUCAAUGAAUUUAAAACCAUUUUAUAACAUUUUACAAUAUAUGUAGGUGAAUUAUUAUUAUUUUUUUAAAAGUCGCGAUCGUUAACAUACAGUAUCUAAUAAGACUCAUACUAAGUUCGUAUUAAAAGAAUAAAGUUGCACAUAUGUAACAUGGAGAAUUCGGUGAUUUUUUUUUAUUACGAAAACACUUAUACUACCAGUCGUGGGUAGCCAUCUACCUGAGAAUAUCAACGAUCAAACAUCAAGCUCUGUAUUAAAAAGGGUGUUUUUUAUUUAUAUCAUAAAUUGCGUUCAUGGGCAAUUCGUUUUUUAUCUUACAUUGAAAUGUACGUACAAUAAUCAUCUAUUAUCAAAUUUGAUAGGAUCUUGUGGUUGUGGUAAAGGGUGCACUGGACCGGAAAGCUGCAAAUGCGCAAACGAUUCCGGAUGUGGCUGUAAGAAAUGAGUGCGUGUAAACAAAGGACUGAUGGCGGACGCACUUUAUUGUUUUAUAUUGUUUCUCGUUUAUUGUUUCUAUGAUGUAUUCUAAAGUUAUUGUUAGCAUAAUAAAAUAAUUUAAAAAAUU
rnacentral:misc_RNA from 1 species